rnacentral:rRNA from 1 species
GACGAACGCUGGCGGCGUGCUUAACACAUGCAAGUCGAACGGGCCUUGUCCCCUUUUUUUUUGGGGGUGGGGUUAGUGGCGAACGGGUGAGUAACACGUGAGUAACCUGCCCCUCACUUCUGGAUAACCGCUUGAAAGGGUGGCUAAUACGGGGUGUUCUGGCCUGCUCGCAUGGGUGGGUUUGGAAAGAUUUGACCGGUUUUGGUUGUUUUGGUGGGGGAUGGGCUCGCGGCCUAGCAGCUGGUUGGUGGGGUGAUGGCCUGCCAAGGCGGUGACGGGUAGCCGGCCUGAGGGGGUGGAGGGGCACUGUGGGGCUGAGACGCGGCCCGGACUCCUACGGACGGCAGUAGUGGGGAAUAUUGCACGAUGGGCGGAAGCCUGAAGCAGCGACGCAGCGUGAGGGAUGGCGGCCUUCGGGUUGUGAACCUCUUUCGCGAGUGAAAAAGGUCCUGCUCUUUGUGGUGGGGUUGACGGUGGAUGGGUUAAUGAAGCGCCGGCUAACUACGUG